rnacentral:rRNA from 1 species
AGCAGCCGCGGUAAUUCCAGCUCCAAUAGCGUAUAUUAAAGUUGUUGCAGUUAAAAAGCUCGUAGUUGAAUUUCGGGGUUAGUAGGUUGGUCAUGCCUCUGGUAUGUACUGGUCUCACUGAUUCCUCCUUCCUGAUGAGCCGUAAUGCCAUUAAUUUGGUGUCUUGGGAAAUCAGGACUGUUACUUUGAAAAAAUUAGAGUGUUUAAAGUAGGCUCGCGCUUGAAUACAUUAGCAUGGAAUAAUGAAAUAGGACGUUCGAUCCUAUUUUGUUGGUUUCUAGGAUUGACGUAAUGAUUAAUAGGGAUAGUUGGGGGCAUUAGUAUUCAAUUGUCAGAGGUGAAAUUCUUGGAUUUAUUGAAGACUAACUACUGCGAAAGCAUUUGCCAAGGAUGUUUUCAUUAAUCAAGAACGAAAGUUAGGGGAUCGAAGACGAUCAGAUACCGUCGUAGUCUUAACCAUAAACUAUG